rnacentral:rRNA from 1 species
CUGAUGCGUUGUUGGGUAGGGGAGCGUUCUGUAAGCCUGUGAAGGUGGCCUGUGAGGGUUGCUGGAGGUAUCAGAAGUGCGAAUGCUGACAUAAGUAACGAUAAAGCGGGUGAAAAGCCCGCUCGCCGGAAGACCAAGGGUUCCUGUCCAACGUUAAUCGGGGCAGGGUGAGUCGACCCCUAAGGCGAGGCCGAAAGGCGUAGUCGAUGGGAAACGGGUUAAUAUUCCCGUACUUGGUGUUACUGCGAAGGGGGGACGGAGAAGGCUAUGUUGGCCGGGCGACGGUUGUCCCGGUUUAAGCGUGUAGGUGUGUGUUCCAGGUAAAUCCGGUUCACUUUAACACUGAGGCGUGA